rnacentral:pre_miRNA from 1 species
UGGAAACAUUUGAUCGUACCAUGUUUCAGUUUCAAUCAUGGUACGAUUGAUGUUGCCUUA